AUUGAACGCUGGCGGCAUGCCUUACACAUGCAAGUCGAACGGCAGCACGGGGAGGGGCAACCCUCCCUGGUGGCGAGUGGCGAACGGGUGAGUAAUGCAUCGGAACGUGUCCUCUUGUGGGGGUAUAACCAGUCGAAAGAUUGGCUAAUACCGCAUGAGAUCGAAAGAUGAAAGCGGGGACCGCAAGGCCUCGCGCGAGAGGAGCGGCCGAUGCCGGAUUAGCUAGUUGGUGGGGUAAUGGCCCCACCAAGGCGACGAUCCGUAGCUGGUCUGAGAGGACGACCAGCCACACUGGGACUGAGACACGGCCCAGACUCCUACGGGAGGCAGCAGUGGGGAAUUUUGGCACAAUGGGCGCAAGCCUGAUCCAGCCAUGCCGCGUGUGUGAAGAAGGCCUCGGGUUGUAAAGCACUUUCGGACGGAACGAAUCGCGUGCAUGAACAAUGCGCGUGGAUGACGGUACCGUAAGAAGAAGCACCGGCUAACUACGUGCCAGCAGCCGCGGUAAUACGUAGGGUGCAAGCGUUAAUCGGAAUUACUGGGCGUAAACGGGUUGCGCAGGCGGCCUCGCAUGUCAGGGCGUGAAAAUUCCCCGGGGUCCGUCAACCUGGGGAAACUGGCGCUUGAAACUACGGGGCUGGAGUGUGGCAGAGGGAGGUGGAAUUCCACGUGUAGCGGUGAAACUGCGUAGAGAUGUGGAGGAACACCGAUGGCGAAGGCAGCCUCCUGGGCCAACACUGACGCUCAUGCACGAAA
rnacentral:rRNA from 1 species